ensembl:lncRNA
AUUCUUUGAUGAAUAAAAAGUUAAAAAGAAGAGCAUUUAUUUAAAAUAGAAAUCUUUUCUAACAAUAUACACUACCGUUCAAAAGUUUGGGGUCAGUACAUUUUUAUUCUUUCUUUUUUUGAAAGCAAUUAAAUCUUUUAUUCAGCAAGGAUGUGUUAAAUUGAUAAGAAGUGAUAGCAAAGAUUCAAAUUGUUAAAAAAUAUUUAUAUUUUGAAUAGAUGUUGUUCUUUUUAACUUUUUAAUCAUCAAAGAAUCCUGAAAGAUGUAUUGCAGUUUCCAAAAAAAUAAUUUAAAAAAAUAAAUAAAAAAUAUUGGCAGCACAACUGUUGCCAACAUUGAUAAUCCUAAUAAUAAAUCAGCAUAUUAGAAUGAUUUCUGAAGGAUCAUGUGACACUUUAUACAGGAGUAAUGGCUGAUGGAAAUUUAGCUUUGCAUCACAGAAAUAAAUUCUAUUUUAAAGGAUAUUAAAAUAGAAACAAUUAUUUUAUAUUGUAAUAACAUUUUGCAAGAUUACUGUUUUUUUUAUCAAAUAAAUGCAGCCUUCAUGAACAUAAGAGACUUCUUUAAAAAACAUUACAAGUUUUAUUAAUCCCAAACUUUUGAACGGCAGGGUAUUUGUAAAAGCUGCAUUAUUUGGAAAUGACUUCAUUACAGUUACAACCUAACUGUAACUGAAAUUGCAACUUAACAUAACUUUUUAUUAGAACAAAAUACUAGGUAUUUUCCAAGGAAAAACAAGUGGAUUGGCUGGCUGCUAAAAGAGAAAGUGCAAAGAAAGAAAGAAAAAGUAAGCAGCGUGUAUAUAUUCAGAAAGCAGAUGCAAAGCAGUGAGCAUUAAAAGCCAAGAGUGGGACUGCUGACAAGACAUGGACACUGUAUUCAGCAAUUUCACUGCUCUGGUGGAGAAGGUCUACUCAUUCUUCUGGGGGACAAGCAGCAGUUCAACAGCCAAUCAGAAUCAGACAGAGCCAUCAGAGAGCUGUAAUGAAAGUGACAUCCCAGUCACAAAACCUGCUGAAACAUGGGUGUCUGAGGUCCAGGAGGUUAGCAGUCCUGUACAAACCACUGUAAAUGCACAUUCAGAUCAUCCACACAUCCCGAUACAGAACUCAAACUCAUUCAGUGAUGCUGAUAAAACUGCUGAAGUGGACAAGAUCAACAUCAUUGUGAAAUGUGCUGGGAAAACCACGGAAGUGGACAUGUUUCCCAGGGAAAGCAUCUCAGUUUUACUAAAGGAGGCCUGUGACCGGGCAGGGAAGAAACCAGAGAAAAUGGCAUUGGUUUAUGAAGGAAACUGUCUGGAUGUGAACAAGAAGGUGAGCUGCUAUGGACUACGAGGAGGAACCACCGUAAAUUUGAUUCAUGCCUAGAAUCAUGUUUCUGUUUACAGUAUACCAGUACACUACUGUACAUAAAAUAUUGUUCAAACUCAACUGUAUUAUUAGUAGUUGUAGUAGUUGUUGUAGUGGUUGUAGUAGUAGUCAGUGCUCAUGGGUUAUUGUUAAAAGUAUUGCAUUGCUGUGUACAGUCUCAAAUACAUUGUAAUAUAUAAAAAAUAAAACUGACUUGCAACACUGACUCA